rnacentral:rRNA from 1 species
UACAGAGGGGUGCGAGCGUUAAUCGGAAUUACUGGGCGUAAAGCGCGCGUAGGCGGCUUUGCAAGUCGGGUGUGAAAUCCCCAGGCUUAACCUGGGAACUGCAUUCGAGACUGCAUUGCUAGAGUAUGGGAGAGGGAAGUGGAAUUUCCGGUGUAGCGGUGAAAUGCGUAGAUAUCGGAAGGAACAUCAGUGGCGAAAGCGACUUCCUGGACCAAUACUGACACUGAGGAGCGAAAGCCAGGGGAGCAAACGGG